UGCGUCCGUGUUUUAUCAUGUCGUCGUGCCGGCGCGGUCUGAAUGGUGUUGUUAUACGCGUUUCAUAUUUCCAGACUGCAACAUGCUUAUGUGGGAUGGCACCAGGAUCAAGGGAAACGAUGUAGCCUCCGUUGAUUUCCAGACUGCAGUGUGCUUGUGAAGAAAGGCGUUGGUUAUGGUAUCUGGCAUCAGGAGGAGCUUGGGAAAUGGAAUGCAGAUAACAGAUACUUAUAAACGGUCACUCCGUCAUUCGUUCUGCUAGGUUGAAGAUACAGGUAAUUGAUUAGCUCGUUACUCGAGCUUUGUGUCAUAUACGCACAUAGAUAUGAACACUGCCUCUGUGCCACUGUGGAUCUUGAACGCUUGCUGCGAUGUGUCUGACGACGACAUUGUGCACGUUUUUGAACGGUAUGGUUAGUAUGGUAAGUUAGUAUGCUUUGAAUGGAACGAAGCACAAUGAUCUGUGGGCAGGUAGUGACAAAGACAGCGACGAAGAAAAUGGUGAUGAAUAAAUGGUAUUGUGCAUCGUUUCCAACUGUUACACUGCCUCCCAAUCUCUGUUUACAGUAAAACCUCGUUAAUUCGACCCCGAUAAUUCCGAAAGUCGGACUGCCCGCAGAGUCCCGGCAAUCAUGCAUACAAAGGUAUUGGAAUCGAAGCUCACUAAUU